AGAUACCAGUUACCCGCAACUAGACGGAAAGACCCCAUGGAGCUUUACUGCAGCUUAAUACUGGAAUUCGGUAACCCAUGUACAGGAUAGGUGGGAGGCUUGGAAGCAGAGGCGUCAGCUUUUGUGGAGCCGCCGGUGGGAUACCACUCUUGGAUUGCUGAAUUUCUAACCUGCGGCCGUGAAUCCGGUCGGGGGACACUGUUAGGCGGGC
rnacentral:rRNA from 1 species